GUGAGUUUCAUCCAUGUGGACCUUUCCUAGUUCAAGUUACCCAGGGGUGCACAUCGUGCGGAGCGGCUCAAGCGCGCUCCCGCGAGGGGGUGCUUUUCACGCCAAGGGUGCAUAAUACGGCACAACACCGGUACGGAGCUGAAAACGCCCGGGUGGUGCUGAAAAACGGCGGCUUAAGCCUCUGGAGAUGGAAGUUAAAUGUUCAAAAUUGACAGAUCUAUUUGGUGCCGGGGUCCACACCCCAGCAGGUGCUGCUGCGCCAGGAGACGAGCGAGUGGAGGCAUAUAUGCUAAGUAACGUUAGCCUGGGGCUAGCUAGGCUACAUUUUGAGACAUGUCCAAAACAAAGUAGAAAACGUUUUUACAUUGAAUGUGAUGUGACCUAAUUAACCGCAUACUUGCGACAACAUAUUAGCCCAGAGUUGAAGGGCUGUGACUGUUGGUAGUUGCGGUUGAUUUUGUUUAAAUAGGCCGAAUUGUGAUAUUAUGGGUUAUUAUUGUUCAGAUGAUUUGGCUAAGCUAGCUAACAGCUGUUAACGUUAGUAGUCUCUUGUUGCCAUAGCAACAGUAAACAUUGACGUGGACUAAUGAGCUGUAAAUAGAGAUGCAGAAUCAAGCUGUAAAUACGCUUACUUUGACCGUUGCUAUAUUUCGGAUAUCAUGACUAUGACAAUGUGCAUCUGUUGUCUAUAUCUGACUGAUGAAUAGUAUCUCAAUAGUGAUAAUCGGAGAUGUCGAUGAGGCCGUGAAACAUCCAACCGGCGCUACGAUCAUGUCUGUCUGAUGCGGGGUCUCGGAAUAAGCGCAGCUGCUGGUGGUCUGAACAACGUGGGACUGGGGCCAGCAGUUGUAAGCUAUUAAAACAUGUAUAAAGAAUACAUGUCUAUUCUUUGUGUCUCAUCACUAUCACUACAUAGAAAACCGGAUGGGUUUCUUUGGGGGCAACAACUAUGGCUGUGAAUAAUAUAUACAAGAGCAAUGCGCACCCCGCUGUGCCUUAACUUUCCAUUCUUAUGUAAUGUAGGCUAUGACUACAGUUUAUGUUGUUAGGUGCAAUGAUCAUGACAAGCGGCGUAUUUAGGGGGGUAAGGAAUAGAGUACAAGAUUAAUAGUCCUUGAAUAUUUCAAAGAUGCGAUAUGGAAUCUGUGUGUGUGUGUGUGUGUGUGUGUGUGUGUGUGUGUGUGUGUGUGUGUGUGUGUGUGUGUGUGUGUGUGUGUGUGUGUGUGUGUGUGUGCGUGCGUGCGUGUGCGUGACAUUGAUUUACAUGUACUCAAAUAAGAAUAACACAUUCACAAAAUAUUGUAUUUGUUGACCGUACAUAGUGUACAUUUGCAGUUGUUUGCGUAGCCUAUUUAUUAAGGAAUCAACUACGGUCUGCCUCUAAAUCUGGCUGUCUCUCAUACCAGAGGGGCACAGCCUCAUGGGAUAGGCCUAAUGGAUGUGAAAAAGGUAAUAUAUGAUGAACCGAAGGAAAAGGUAGGCCUACCGCAUGACACAAGAUAAAGACUAUGCUUAACAAGAAUAUAAUAAUCAGCAGCCUGCACACAUUUAUUUUUAACUGUAAGUUAACUAUUUUCAUACAAUGCCAUUGUUUUGGCACAAAGUAUCUAAUUUUACAGGCCUCACUGGUCUGGUGAAUACUCUCUUCAUUCCUGCGGAAGUUAUUUUGAAAAUGUUAUUGCAUUCAGACGUUUCUUCCAUCACAUUAUGUUUCUUCCGUAGGCCAAAGAGCUGCACUGCCAUACAUUUUCCUGCGGGUUCGGGAAGGCCUAUGAUGUUGUAUGCAAUAAGGCGGGGACUAUGUACGAAUUACUUCAGACAUGCGAUAGGUUUAAAGAAAAGGCUUCCAAAAACCAAGGCAAAGAUCUUGUUAUUUUAACAUCUCAUAAAAGAGCUAUUAGUAUGCAUUUUCCAUAUCACAAAAUGACCGAGAUUGGCACUGAAACCCUCGUAAUUAGGUAGCCCUACAUCAGUGCAGGAAGGAACCAGACAACCACCACAAGCAGUAAGGACAAAAAGGAAUAUCGUGGAGAGAUGGCAAUAUUUGACGUGAAAACAACUGGCGAUACUAACAUUCUUACUAUGGUUAUGAACAAUUUGGGGCUGAGAUAGCGGAUGAGGUUACAGUGUAUGGCUACAAAGGUCAAACAGUGAGAGAAGUGCUGGAGCAAGAUGGACGUUUUAGUGACGAGGUAUUACAAAGCAAUUAUUAUCUGCAGGACACAAAGAAUGGUAUACGUACGGAAAAGUCCACCCAUGCAAAUUAUCUAGAUGGUAGAUGUUUCAAGAUAACAAGAGGUUACCGCUUAGAAACGCUGUGAUAGUUAAACGUCCGUGCGUGGUUUGCAACAUACUUAGGGUCCUUCAUGAUAACGCCACACUUACAUAUGGAUAUUAGCUAUAAGGCUAUCACCAGUAAUGAUAAAGAAGUGGUACAAGUUUUGUACAGAUUAUGUUUUGGUUCAUUGUUUGUUUUUUAUUGGUUUAUUAUUUGUAUGCAUUAUAUGUUGGUGUCA
ensembl:lncRNA